rnacentral:misc_RNA from 1 species
GAUGAAGAACGAAGCGAAAUGCGAUACGUAGUGUGAAUUGCAGAAUUCAGUGAAUCAUCGAAUCUUUGAACGCACAUUGCACCUCUCGGUAUUCCGGGAGGUAUGCCUGUUCGAGCGUCAUUUGUACCCUCAAGCUCUGCUUGGUGUUGGGUGUUUGUUCCGCCUCUGUGUGUGAACUCGCCUCAAAACAAUUGGCAGCCGGCGUACUUGUUUCGGAGCGCAGCACAUUUUGCGAUCCAGAUCAACGUACAGCGGCAUCCAAGAAGCCUUAUUUAACGCUCUUGACCUCGGAUCAGGGAGGGAUACCCGCUGAACUUAAGCAUAUCAAUAAGCGGAGGA